CCCGCUGAGUUUAAGCAUAUCAAUAAGCGGAGGAA
rnacentral:rRNA from 2 species